GGGAGCGGUUGUGACACCGCCACAGUCCACCGAAAGACGAGUGCGAAACCCGCACAGAUGACGCUUUCGGCGUAUUCGGACUGAAACCUACGGCCUUGCCGGAAUCCCACUGUUGUGGGAAGCCCCGUCGUUUACGACGGGGAGGAUGUCACUGUAUGAUAAUGC
rnacentral:misc_RNA from 1 species